GACGGAGGGCGCGAGCGUUGUUCGGAAUCACUGGGCGUAAAGCGCACGCAGGCGGUCUCUUAAGUCCACUGUUAAAUCACGGGGCUCAACCCCGGAGGUGCAGUGGAUACUGAGGGACUGGAGACCGGUAGAGGCUAGCGGAAUUCCUGGUGUAGCGGUGGAAUGCGUAGAUAUCAGGAGGAACACCGGUGGCGAAGGCGGCUAGCUGGGCCGGUUCUGACGCUCAUGUGCGAAAGCGUGGGGAGCAAACAGG
rnacentral:rRNA from 1 species